rnacentral:tRNA from 2 species
GACACAGUGGCUCAGCUGGAUAGAGCAACGGUCUUCUAAACCGUAGGUCGUGAGUUCAAGUCUCACCUGUGUCA